rnacentral:rRNA from 1 species
GGCGGCAGGCUUAACACAUGCAAGUCGAGCGGUAGCAGAUCUAGCUUGCUAGAUGCUGACGAGCGGCGGACGGGUGAGUAACGCGUAGGAACCUGCCCAGUAGUGGGGGAUAGCCCGGGGAAACUCGGAUUAAUACCGCAUACGCUCUACGGAGGAAAGAGGGGCUUCGGCUCUCGCUAUUGGAUGGGCCUGCGUGAGAUUAGCUAGUUGGUGAGGUAAUGGCUCACCAAGGCGACGAUCUCUAGCUGGUCUGAGAGGAUGAUCAGCCACACUGGGACUGAGACACGGCCCAGACUCCUACGGGAGGCAGCAGUGGGGAAUAUUGCACAAUGGGCGCAAGCCUGAUGCUGCCAUGCCGCGUGUGUGAAGAAGGCUUUCGGGUUGUAAAGCACUUUCAGUGGGGAGGAAGGCCUCGUAGUUAAUAGCUGCGAGGAUUGACGUUACCCACAGAAGAAGCACCGGCUAACUCCGUG